rnacentral:rRNA from 1 species
CACGUAGGGCGCGAGCGUUGUCCGGAAUUAUUGGGCGUAAAGAGCUCGUAGGCGGCCUGUUGCGUCCGCUGUGAAAGCCCGGGGCUUAACCCCGGGUCGCAGUGGAUACGGGCAGGCUAGAGGUAGGUAGGGGAGAAUGGAAUUCCCGGUGUAGCGGUGAAAUGCGCAGAUAUCAGAAGGAACAUCAGUGGCGAAGGCGGCUUCCUGGACCAAUACUGACGAUCAGGUGCGAAAGCGUGGGGAGCAAACAGG